AGAUCUCUGUCUCUCCUCUCUAAAUCUGGUUCUCCAAUAAAAAUAAAUAAAUCUUUAAAAACAAAUCUGUCACACGGAAAGUACUCAGGUAUGCACUGCACACCUUGGAAAUGAAAAAUGACUGUUUGCAUUGGAAAUGUGCUGGUUAAUUCCUUCAGCAAAACAGACUCUCCAUUCUAAGCCCUGUGAUGUUGAAAUGGGUAAUCUGCCGGGAAACUGGAAAGCUGUGAAGUUAGCAGAAGGCAAACCUGGAGUUCAUGUAUUUUACCAUUUCUUUUCAGAUUUUCCCCAAAAAUGAUGUUUGUCAUUGCACUUCAAAUGGAUGAAUUCUGAAACUGCAGGUAAAAUUUAGCAGUGAUAAUCCAGCAUUUACUUGGCAUAGUCUUCUGUUUGCAAGUGGCUGGUACUCCUGUCCAGGAAGGAAGAGCUGGAAAUGAAAUACUACAUACUGCUAAGCAAAGUUAGGUCUGUCAAAACUGCCCACAGUUUGGCUACGCCAGGGAAAAGUUCUUUAAGACAGGCUGGGUUCGAAUCCACACCGUCAUCUUGCGCCGUGCCUUCUGGCAGCGCUGGCUGCACAAGGAGCCCUGGAGGUGCUUUGUGGUGAUCCCUGAAAAGCUUUGUUUUUCUGCCGGGGCAGGCCCGGUGGUGGCACAGUGGGUUAGACUGCCGUUCCUGAUGCCUACAACCAGUAUCAAGUGCUGACGGCAGUCCUGGCUUCUCGCUCUGUGCUGGUGUGCCUGGGAAGCAGCCGAUGAAGUGCUUGUCCCCGUGUCCCAUGGUGGGGAGACCUAGGCAGCAUUCCUAACUCCUGGCUUCUGCCUGGCCCAGCAUGGACUGUUACUGCCGUUUGGGGAAGGACCAAGGAGAUGGAAGAUGAAUGUCUCUGCCUCUGUCAUUGUUUCACAUAAAUAAAUCAACAAAUCUUUAAAAAUAAAAUACACUUUCUGUGACUUCCCCUCAUUUGAAAAGAGAGGACAUAUGUAGUUUGCAUAUUUUCCUGGCAUCUUCACCUCCCGUGCUGACCUAAUUGUAUGAGAGUAAGACCUAGGAAAUUUGUCACAUGUUACAGAUCACGGGUCACUGGUGGCAGGGCCGGGACACAAACACCAGGUGUCUGAUCUCUGGUUACUGCAAAAACUAUUACAAGGAGAUUCGUGGUUUUUCACAAACAGCAAUUUUUAAAGCCAUACCAAAAGUGCUCACCUGAAAUGCGUGUUUUAUCCCAGAGGAUUCCUGGGGCUGCUGCUCGUGGCCCAACCUGAGGCAGCUAGUGGGAGCCCCGACUGGCCCAGGCUGGCUUGUCUCCCUCAGUGGUGUGGAGUUAGUUCUGCUGGCCACACAGUCUGAGAAUCCAACUUGCACCGUUGGCUACUGGUUGGUUGCUCCUGAGCCCCAGCAGACCCAAAAAUUCAGUUUCAUAACCACAAAUGCAAGGGGUGUGUUGAUUGCUUUAUAAAAGCUGUUUCUGUCUUGCUGCCACCAUUCCAUUGUGGUCCUCGAGUGGAUGUCCUCUGGGGGUGGUGAGAUGGAAGGGAAGGGGACAAUGCAGGAUUUUAGGGACUAAUAAAAAAAAGGGGUGGAGGACUCCUACAAGGCCGCACACAAUGCAGCCUAGGGGUGAGCAUUCAUGAAUUUGGUACUGAAAAAAUUUACAUUUCAUUAACAUUUUAAAUACGCAGGCAGGUCUGCAAAUACUGGUCCGUGCAUGCAUGUGUGCUCACAGCACUUUCCAAGCGAGCGAGUGACUAAUGUACUGUGACUGCGUCUGUGCUGGUCACCCUUGAGUGUCCGUCUUCAUUUUGUCUCGUGUGCUAACUGUAACCUGCAAUCCCAGUCCUGUUAGGGGACAGUGCUUGGCCCUUUCUGCAGACCUACGCAUAGGAACCUGGUGUCUGACAGGUGUUUGGGGUCCUUGGGGUCACCAGCAUCAUUGCUCAGGGGCGUUGGAAGCCAGCUCCCCAGACUUCCCGUUCUGGAAUUUCAGUUUUCAUGGGUAGAAGCAAACCAUCUCGAAAAUGAGUGGCAAAAUAAAAAUGGCAUACCUGAUGGAUAAUAUUCCCAAGAGAUCAAAAUUCCUGAAGUGUGGCUGCUGUAGUUUAGGGAAAGUGUGGCAGAGGGAGGGAAGCAGGAGGCAGCUACGGAGGUUGAGCAGUGAAUUGAAUUCAGUGUCUGAAGCUCUGUGAGCCAGGCUGUCCCUCAGGCUGCCAGUUGAGCAUAAUUGACAAGCAGGUGUGCGGGAGAGUGACAGGAAAGAUCCCAUUUGUCCUUGUUGGCGCCAGUAGUGAUGACAUCAUAACUCUUGGGUCUGUCGGAGCAAGAGUUUUUCUGAGCAUAAAAUUGUGCAUUGUCAGUUCUGCACGUGGACACCAUUCAGUGGCAGAAAGUGACUGUGUCUGUGAUCCUUGUCAACUGGGCGGAAUGUCUAGCUGCCACCAUCCCUCAUGUGA